rnacentral:rRNA from 1 species
GUGGGGAAUAUUGGACAAUGGGCGAAAGCCUGAUCCAGCCAUGCCGCGUGUGUGAAGAAGGUCUUCGGAUUGUAAAGCACUUUAAGUUGGGAGGAAGGGCAGUAAGUUAAUACCUUGCUGUUUUGACGUUACCGACAGAAUAAGCACCGGCUAACUUCGUGCCAGCAGCCGCGGUAAUACGAAGGGUGCAAGCGUUAAUCGGAAUUACUGGGCGUAAAGCGCGCGUAGGUGGUUUUGUAAGUUGGAGGUGAAAUCCCCGGGCUCAACCUGAGAACUGCCUCCAAAACUGCAUGACUAGAGUACGGUAGAGGGUAGUGGAAUUUCCGGUGUAGCGGUGAAAUGCGUAGAUAUAGGAAGGAACACCAGUGGCGAAGGCGACUACCUGGACUGAUACUGACACUGAGGUGCGAAAGCGUGGGGAGCAAACAGGAUUAGAUACCCCUGUAGUCC